rnacentral:rRNA from 1 species
UGAGGAAUAUUGGGCAAUGCCCUAAAGGGUGACCCAGCAACGCCGCGUGGAGGAUGAAGGUCGUAAGAUUGUAAACUCCUGUUAGAGGGGAAGAAUGACUAAGUUUGGAGCUUAGUAUGACUGUACCCUCAGAGAAAGCCCCGGCUAACUACGUGCCAGCAGCCGCGGUAAUACGUAGGGGGCAAGCGUUGUCCGGAUUUACUGGGUGUAAAGGGCGCGCAGGCGGAAUGGAAAGUCAGUGGUGAAAUCCUACAGCUUAACUGUAGAACUGCCUUUGAUACUUUCAUUCUUGAGUUCGGGAGAGAGAGACGGAAUUCCAGGUGUAGUGGUGAAAUACGUAGAUAUCUGGAAGAACACCAGUUGCGAAGGCGGUCUCUUGGUCCGAUACUGACGCUGAGGCGCGAAAGCGUGGGGAGCAAACA